UGGCUAACUCCUACGGGAGGCAGCAGUGGGGAAUAUUGCGCAAUGGGGAAACCCUGACGCAGCAACGCCGCGUGAAUGAAGAAGGCCUUAGGGUUGUAAAGUUCUGUUUUCUGGGACGAUAAUGACGGUACCAGAGGAGGAAGCCACGGCUAACUACGUGCCAGCAGCCGCGGUAAUACGUAGGUGGCAAGCGUUGUCCGGAUUUACUGGGCGUAAAGGAUGCGUAGGCGGAUGUUUAAGUGAGAUGUGAAAUACCCGAGCUCAUCUUGGGUGCUGCAUUCCAAACUGGAUAUCUAGAGUGCAGGAGAGGAAAGCGGAAUUCCUAGUGUAGCGGUGAAAUGCGUAGAGAUUAGGAAGAACACCAGUGGCGAAGGCGGCUUUCUGGACUGUAACUGACGCUGAGGCAUGAAAGCGUGGGGAGCAAACAGGAUUAGAAACCCCGGUAGUCCAGCUGG
rnacentral:rRNA from 1 species